GUCUGUGGCUCAGUCCCACAAAAAUGCCUAUACUUUGCCUGUCAGUCACAAGCAGGAUCCCCAAGCUGCUCGCAUCUGCCUAGCUGACUACACAUUUGGGAAUUCCCACAAUUCCCCCUCCCUUAGGUUCAAUAAUUCACUAUAACAACUCAUGGAACUCAGGAAAGUGCUAUAUCUAGCAUUACAGUUUUAGUAUGAAGCUACAACUCUGAAAUAGCCAAGUUAAAGAGAUACACAAGGCAAUUGGGUAGGGAGCGUAGAUAGUUUCCAUAUCAUCCGUGGGUGCACCAGCCUCCUAACAGAUUGAUGUAUUUGUUCACCAACCUGGAAGAGCCCCAAACUUCACUGUUCUGAAGAUUUUAUUAAAGCUUUAUUACAUAGCUUUAUUACACAGUGAUUGGUAAAAUCACUGGCCAUUGGUGACUGAACUCAAUCUACAGCCCCUCUCCCCUCCCCAAGGUGGAGGUGUGGCUAGAAGUUCCAAACUUCUAAUCUUGUUGUUGGGCUUCCCUCACAGCUCAGUGGGUAAAGAGUCUGACUGCAAUGCGGGAGACCUGAGUUAGAUCCCUGGGUCGGGAAGAUCCUCCGGAAAAGGAAAUGGCAACCCACUCCUAUAUUCUUGCCUAGAGAAUCCCAUAGACAGAGGAGCCUGGCAGGCUCCAGUCUACGGGGUCACAAGAGUCGGACACGACUGAACCACUAAGCAAUUCUGGUUGGUACCUAUAGUGACCAGCCCCCAUCCUGAAGCUGUCUGAGAACUGAAGAAUCACCUCAUUAGCAUAAAUUCAGGUUUGAAUGAAAGGGGCUUGUUAUGAAUAACAAAAGACAUUAUUAGACUCCCCAGGUGGUCCAGUGAUUGGGAGUCUGCCUGCCAAAGCAGGGGACACAGUUCAAACCUGGGAGGAUCCCAUAUGCUGUGAGACAAGAAGCUGGUGCUCCACAAUUACUGAAGCCCAUGCUCUACAGUUCAUGCUCCACAACAAGAGAAGCCACCACAAUGAGAAGUUCUCACACUGCAGUAAAGAAUAGCGCCCCUCCUUCCCUCAGACGCAAUUAGAGAAAGCCUGAGAGCAGCAACCAAGACCAAGGGCUGCCAAAUACAGUACAAAGAAAUAAUGUUUGGGGUUUUUUUUUUUUUAAAGACAUUCCUAUCGUAGAUAGGAACCAGGAACAAUUCCUGCCAGGAAUCAAGAACAAAAACCAAAUAUAUAUGUCUUGUAUUAUAAAACACAUAGAGUUGUCCAAAGCUCAGCAUGGUGCAAGAGCAGCAGUAUGGAUUGCCCCCGGCCUAAGAGAUAAAUGGAAGCAGCAAGGCAGACCUGUACCUGGAGGGUCCUACAGAUGAGAGUCAGAAGGUGACAGAAGAGGCCAGUGUAGGCUGUCCCUGGGAAACUGAGGGGACAAGGGACUUCACAGCAGACAUCAGCUUGAAUGAAUGACAAUCAAGAACCAUACUCCCUCUCCCCUAAUGUCGUGGCACUAAGUAUCCUGGGACCCCAAGAAGAAAAUGAGAGUGAGUACCAAUUCUAAUAUUGUUUUUAAUUUCUGGUUGAAUGGAGGUGCAAAUUAUUAAUUAAGGUGAGUUAUAAUUUUAAAAAGUAACAGUUUUUGCAGAACUGAGUUUGUAGCUUCAGAUCCAUCUCUGUCAUUAAACAGGGCUAUAGAAACUAUAAGAGAUA
ensembl:lncRNA